rnacentral:sRNA from 1 species
AAUAACCACGGAUGACCCUGACCGCGAUGGU